AGACUACUGAUGUUUGAUAUUAAG
rnacentral:siRNA from 1 species